rnacentral:rRNA from 1 species
CGUCGCAAGACAAAGAGGGGGACCUUCGGGCCUCUUGCCAUCAGAUGUGCCCAGAUGGGAUUAGCUAGUAGUGGGGUAACGGCUCACCUAGGCGACGAUCCCUAGCUGGUCUGAGAGGAUGACCAGCCACACUGGAACUGAGACACGGUCCAGACUCCUACGGGAGGCAGCAGUGGGGAAUAUUGCACAAUGGGCGCAAGCCUGAUGCAGCCAUGCCGCGUGUAUGAAGAAGGCCUUCGGGUUGUAAAGUACUUUCAGCGGGAGGAAGGUGUGUGGUUAAUAACCACAGAAUUGACGUUACCCGCAGAAGAAGCACCGGCUAACUCCGUGCCAGCAGCCGAGGUAUACGGAGGGUGCAGCGUAAUCGGAAUUACUGGGCGUAAAGNGCACGCAGGCGGUCUGCCAGGUCGGANUGUGAAAAAUAACCCCAGGGGNNUCAAANACCUAGAGGGAAAACUGGCAUUCNCCGGAAAAANGGGGCCCAGGGCCNACAAAAAGUCACAAGGCAUANAAAAAGGAGGNGAGGAUCACANAAAAUUACCAACAANNGAUAGACUAAACACCGGANUCCAGAAACANGANGACUGAAACACAAAAACA